CUGCAUUCUCAUCCAAACUGAGCAUUCCCACUGUAAUUAGAGUUUAAACUGUUACAUACAUUGAAAUGCUGGAGUCGGGGCAUUGCACAGGUGCUUUCACCUUCUUCACUGUGGUAUCCAGUUUAUUCCUCGUGACAUGAUUUGUACAUUUUUCACAAGUCUUGGAUCUCCUUUGACUUGCUCCUUUCCAGUCUGUACCUUUGACAAGAUCCUUCAUAUGUACAUCUCUGAAAAGUGCAUCGCUUGCUAACAUCCUAAUGCCUUCUACUAAAAGUUCCACAUAACCCACGUAUCUCCUAAGAUAACUGAAGAAACCAUUAUGAUGGGUCUGUGUCUUUGCUGAAGAGUCUGUCAGGCUUUAACUUUCUGCUUCUGUCCUUUCUAUUGGUAUAGUACCUGAAAUUAGACUUUCAAUAGAAGGGGUGAAAUUUGUCAGAUGAAAACUCUUCUUGAGACAAAAUACUGAUUUGGGUUGACUGAAAUGGCCUUCAAGUUCAUUUAAUUGUUUCAGCUGGAAAAAACGUUUUUAUGUCAAAACAUGUUAGCUGAAAAAAAACACUUUUAUUUUUUGUUUUGGAAAAUAUGCUUCAAUAUUAAAUGUAUCUAAAUUUAAUUUUACUAAAGACUGUGAAAGAAUAACUUGUAUUUCUUCAGUAUAAACUAUUCCACUUAAGCAAUUUCAAUGACUUUUUGUUUUCAAUAUCAAAACCAAACAGAAAUUAAUUUUGGAUCAAUCUGAAUAUUUUCCCUCUGUGGUUUGCCCAUUAAAAAUAAAUGUACUACAUUUCUCUAAUCGUUAUUUCA
rnacentral:lncRNA from 1 species